GCCUUCGUAGUGUAGUGGUCAGCACGCUCGAUGUGUAACCGAGAGUUCCGUGGUUCGAACCCAGCGAAGGCG
rnacentral:tRNA from 1 species